ACAGCCAAUAUGUUCUCUGGAUUCUUCACCAUCAGUCCAUUCUUCUGGUCCCCCUCAUCGGUUUCAGCUACUCACCGUUGGUCUGUGCUCCUUCUCGCCGUGGCAUCUCCGCCUUAGAGUCAUCAGAUUUUUUCUUCUGCUUCUCUUUUUUUGAGCGACAGAACCUGUGAAAGUGAUAGAGAGAGCGUAUGAAAUUUUUCCUUCUCUUCACCGUCGAUCUGCUUCUCUGUACCUCGCUGUCGACUUCCUUCUUUGCCGCCUUGUUCGUCCGCUACUCUUUUCUCCAUUCAUGUUGCCAGCUACUGUGAGGAUGUAGUCACCGAAUACUCCUCCCCAGUCGUUCUCCUCUGUUCUUUUCCUGAUUUGUGUUGGCGUGUGUAUGUUUGUCAUCUUCAACUUAUCUUCCUCCUCAGUUCUGGUCAUCGUGCAUGCAUGUGGGAGAGCCGGUAGAUAUGGGUCCAAGUUUCCCACUGGGGAAGUAACAUGCUUUGAUGCAGAGGAUCUACCCUUGCUUCAUUCAUCAUUAAAUUCUCCAUCCCCCACAUUAGAGUUGACAUAGAUGAUGAAAUUUCGUCUCGAGGCCUUUACACAGUUUGCGGAGACUUAUGCUAAGAAAGGCCUUGUUCAGCUUCGGGAAAUAUUUACUCCUGGUACAGUUAAGGUGCCUAAAGCACCAUCUGCUCUCGAGGAACUUGAAUCUAUCCACAAGUUGAUUGACGCUAUCUGCACUUCGCGACGAGCCUCUAUCUUCCUCUCGUGACGCGGCCGUGCUCCUCUGUUCCUCCUCCCACUUCGUUGCUGUGCUUCUUGGUUGAUCCUCCAGCACUUCCUCCUCCGGCGCAGCGUUCUAUAUAAAAAGAAUGAGGAGGGAGAGAAAUUUGCUCUCCAUUCUUCGUACACCCUCCACCUUUCUUUCCGUUCUGUCGCCGGUGAUUGUGAGUGCUGGAGUCUUCCUCUUCAUCCUCCUUUGAGACUGACGCCAGUGAUCUCCUUACUUUCUCGAGCUGGCUCAUGUCUGAACUAGGGAAGAGUAAGGCUUCGUUUGGUAUGAUUGAAUAGUUUUUAAUGGAAUUGGAAUCGGAAUCAUAAUUAGAAUUGGAAUCAGAAUUGGAAUAGAAUAGAAUUACAAAAAUAUGUUU